rnacentral:rRNA from 1 species
CAGCAGCCGCGGGAAUACGGAGGGUGCAAGCGUUAAUCGGAAUUACUGGGCGUAAAGCGCACGCAGGCGGUCUGACAAGUCAGAUGUGAAAUCCCCGGGCUUAACCUGGGAACUGCAUUUGAAACUGUCAGGCUGGAGUCUUGUAGAGGGGGGUGGAAUUCCAGGUGUAGCGGUGAAAUGCGUAGAGAUCUGGAGGAAUACCGGUGGCGAAGGCGGCCCCCUGGACAAAGACUGACGCUCAGGUGCGAAAGCGUGGGGAGCAAACAGGAUUAGAUACCCGAGUAGUCCAUGUCUCUUAUAC